CACACACACACACACACACACACAAUUAUGUACUACAGGACUACAAAACAACAUGGCAGACUAGUCCUCCAUCUUAGUUCAUACUGAUUAUUCUUUUGAUUCACGUGUCUGCCUAUCUCAGUUUUUUUAUGCUCCUUCUCUCCCUUCCUCUCUCCCCGCUUCUCUCUCUCUCUGUCCCGCCACCUUCUCCACUCUGCGACCAGCAUUUGGCUUUUUCCACUUGUGGCAGAUUACUGUAAGGCUAUUGUAAAACAACUUCCUGCCUCUUUUGGCUCUGGUUCCAAAAAAAACGGCAAAGGCUGGGCUCACGCGUCUCCCCCUCUCUCUCCCCGAAGUAUCAGAAGGUCUAAAAAGAGAGAAAGCCAGAAAAAGGAAAAGUGUAAAAUCUCUGUCUCCUCUUGAGGACUUAUUUUGAUGCCUUGUGUCUUUAAUGCCACAUGAGAAGUAAAGGAGGAGAGCAGGGGACUGCAUGCCUAGCAGAACGGAAAGAACAGCACAGCAACACCGGACCGACUGGAGGCUCCUCCGCUAGCUCUCUCCGAGGACUCUCUCCUCUCCUCCUCUCUUCAUGACAAGGUUCAAUAAGACACAGGUGGCCACAUUCAAUGGACCUGCAGAGGGAAAAAACAUUGUUUGUAUUUACUUACUGAAGACAUGGUGCAACCAAGUUCGGGCGUUAUUAACAGUCUCUCUAGUCUUCUUUUUAAAAAAUGACACAAAAUGGGUUGGAUGUGUCUGCAUUGGAAUGAGCUAGAACCCUAAAACCCUAGAACCCAAUCCAAAGCACCGCAGCCUCACGUCACAUCUCGCCAUGCGUUUUAACCAAUUGAAAAACUCACGUCUUUGCGUUGAAACAUAUAGGUUUAAACAUACAGUUUGUGGAUAAUGUAGAUAUAUAUUAAGAAUAUGUAUUUUUGUAUGCACAAUCCUGCUCAGUUUCAGUAGAGGACAGACAGUAGGGAAAAUGGACAUGGAACUAUGAAUUUGUUUUAGUUGUUGGUUUGGAACGGUCUGUAGUAAUAAUUUAGCUUAGUGUGCACGUAGCACAGCAUUUGCAAGAAGUUCACUUGAGGAUAGGGUUUUGGUUUUGGGAGGAUGCCAACUUUUACGACUGCGUGCCUCUACCUCGUUCCCCUCUUCUCUACUCUGGUUGCAUUUGUCUCUAAUGAAUUAUAUUUCAAAAUGUAUUUAUAUAUGUAAUUAUAUAUGUAAUUAUUCUAUUUUAAGUUGUGUUUUAGAAUUAUAAAUGACUUUAACCAUGCUUUCUUUAAACACAUUUCAAAUAAUAAAUUAAGCCAUUUUAAUAUUUUUUUAACUUAGAUAUUUUUUAAGGAAUGCUUUCUUACACAGGUGUGUAUAAGAACUUUACAACAAUACCAUUAAAAAACAUGUCCUAGUACUACAGAAAAAAAGCUUGGAGGGAGGACAGGGAGGUAAAUGUAACUAUUCCUUCUUUAGUAUAUUUGAAGGGAUUUCUUAACCCUAUUGUUAAUAAUUACGAUAUGCUAUGGAAUGCUAUGUAUCUGAAUCAGCAUUAACUCUUAGAAUCUUUAGAUAAAAUCACAAUAGAUGAAAUGGUUAAUAAACUUUAAAGUAAAUAUCCAACCUGUUAGUCAAAGCUAUGUUCCUGGUUUUGAAAUGCUACAAAUCCACAUAACUCACUACAGUGGAUGGUGAAGGAGAGAAUGAUCAGAGUAGGAAGUUAACUAACACGUCAGUAAAUGUGUCUUAGCUAUCGACACGUGAAUACCGAUUCAGUCAUUCAGUCCUAUUCAAGGAAAUGUUCAUUGAAAUGGCGGACGCUGCCAAGUCAUUUGCAGGCUUCAUUCGGAAUGUUAACGUAUUGUGAUACAUUAAAAACGUAACCUUGCUUAAUAAAAUGUAUUCCCGUACUACACAUUUUGUAAAAAGUGAACUACAACGACUCCAGGAAAAAUCCUCACACAUUUAGUUUCUGUCUUUUAACCCUUAAAUUGACAAGCUGGUUAUACAUUUGUAAGGAAGUAUUUGGAAUAACAAACUCAUAAUUCAACUUAAAAAAUUAAGCACAAUCAAUAUGAAAAUUGCUAUGUGGUCUUAGAUAACUUAAAAUCUAUGACAAAACAACUAAAAUAGUAUCCAACAAUUUCAUAUGUAGUUGCUGUACAGAUUAAUAAAUACAUUCAAUGUUAACCACUAUGUAUAAUGUAUAUCACUAGUAGAUAUGGUAAAAACAGAUCAUGCAAAUAUAAUUUUCUCCAACUGGUCCUACAGAAAAUUAUAACUUUUGUUAGUAUGCAUGUUGGAUCUUAUCAUGGUAAACAAAAAAUAUGUAAUACAUCAAAUGUUUAUUUUGGGAUAAUAAGAAUUCCUGAUCAUGCUAAAUGUAGGCUGUGGAUUCUCACUUCUUGCUUUUCUCAUGUGUUAUGAGUAAUGAACUAAAUAAAAGGGUCGGUCAAGGGAAGAUCAAACUAAAUGCAACAUAUUAUCUUUGCAAAAGAACGACAAGAUAGAUCUAUGUACAACACUACGUCUUUAUUUUCUGCACAGGGGGCAUAAUCAUGGCAUUCUCUGAUUUAUCUAAUUGAAAUGUCUUUUUUUUUGCCUCACUUUAAAACGUUUUGUGCUCCAUCAUUUUUAUACAUAAUUUGGAGUCACAGAGUAACAGUCACAAGGUCUCUGUAUUUUCAAAGCUGUCAUACCUAACACUUGGUAUUCCAUGUAGGUCACAUAAGGAGAGUCGAUGACACAUGAUUAGGAGCCUGUUUGCUUGUCUUUAGUCUCUAGAAACACAGGAAACAGCCAGGAAAGGAAGAAUAUGAAAUUGCAGUGGGCAGUAGCGCCGCAUAGGCAAACAUGAUCUACACUCCUUUACCCAUUAACCACCAACAGGAGUACAAGCCAGAUUUCUGACUGUGCAGGAUCAGAAACUGCAAUGCAUCAUGGUUACCAGGCACAUACAGCUGACACAUCAGACAGAAACAAUUGAUAUUCUAUAGCAGGGUUCCAAAACAGGUGGCCUGCGGGCCAACUUCGGCCUUCGGGUGAUUUUAUUUCAUUUUUCUGAUAAAAAAUAAUACAAAUAAUAAUACAAAAUAAAAACUAUAUAAUUUUCAUUGUUGGACAUAAAAGACUGUAAAAUCACCAGGACAUCAGCUUAAAGUGAUUUUAAUUGAGAAAAUCUGUUCCCAAGUAUUCCCACGCAUAAACAGAGGCAUACAGUAUGUGAUCGUAUCCCAAUGUUAUCAAGGUUUGAAAUGAUUCUGUUUUUGUCAAAUACUAUGUCUGUUUGGGAUUAUUGCGGUCAAUUUGCAGUCUACAAAUGAUUUGUAACCAUGUCCCCCCCCCCCUGACCAUCCACUCAAGGAAAAAUUGGCCUGUGACUGAAUGUAUUAGGGACCCUGUUUUAAAGGAAGCUAAUCAGGAGGAUAGCACCAACCCACAAGGCCGGAUGGCCCUACGUACGCAGGGAUGAAAGACUUGGACUCCCUCUCUAGGAACAGGGGCCGAGUGAGUCUAUGAGGUGGUCUUGCUUCAACCCGGCACGUGUCUAAACAACUUCUCUAUUACACCUGACCUCUGAGGGCACUCCCCAUCGAGCAGGGAACAAAGGCCAUGACCCUGGGGUCAAAAGUGUUAUACGGGAGGCCCAAUGAGGAACCCAGUGCUGUUUGCUUUAAGAAGGUAAAGAUGACUAACACAUUAACUAAUGCUGAAUAGGGGAUUAUCCCCGAGGGACGUCACUCACAGGGUCUACACAUCACGUCUUAUUAACACCCCUGACCUCUGGCCCGUCACCUCAGGCAGCUGACUGAGACCGCCACUCUCCCUCUCUGUCUAUGUGUAAGAAUAACACGCACACACGCAGGCAUGCACGCACACACACACACACACACACACACACACACACACACACACACACACACACACACACACACACACACACACACACACACACACACACACUACAAAGUUUUACCAAUCACUAUAAUUAAUUACUGAGUAUCAAUUCUGAAUUACAAACAGUAAUACUUAAUAGUAGUAUUGCCAUGAGAAACAAAAUAUAAGAAACCAUUGAACUUUAUACCUGGCAUUUUGUUUAAUUUCAAGUCUUUGUUUUAUGUAUGAUUAGCAAAUGUGUAUCUUUGACAUUUAAUUUCACACUGAUCACGAGUCAAGGAAUUUAUUUACACCCUACACAACAAGAGAUUCCCUCAAAUUGAUCCUCCGUGUUACUGAGCUGUGUUCCACGGCACUUCAUAAAAUGGGAGCAUUUAGAUAAAGUUCUGAUCACAAAAUGGUGGACAGAAGACAUGCGCAGUGUGGAUAUCAUGGAUAAUAUUACACGAUAGACCCUUUCAACAGCACAUGCUUAUUCACACAUUUUCAAUUAUUACAUAUGUAUUGAGUGGGUGACGUAAAUGAAUUGUGUCAAUGUGAAAAAGUGGAAGCUGACUUAACCCUAUAUCUCCUGACAGAUUACACCUACAUAUUCAUUAUUGAAACUAAACAAGCAUGGUUUCAUUUCAUUGGGUGUACUGUUAUGUGCAAUACCUCAUAAUGUAAUGAUACCAUUUUCUUCUGAAAAACAAAUAUGAAAUGUGAUUAUUAUGUGUAUGAGGAAAUCAAUUUCUGAGAUGGUGAUGUUUAAGAAUUAACUAUUUGCUUUGUUGUACACAUGUACACUUGAAUAUUGUACAAUCUUAAAGAAAAUUGUAUUUGUGAAAUAUGUUCUAUUCAUCACGUGUUUUCUUUUUAGAAAUGGGUUCACAGCUCAACUUAACAUUAUAAAAGUCAAGUAUUCAUUUGAAUUGAAAAUAGAAGAUAUAAUGUCUUUCUAAUGACAAUACCAUUUUCAAUUUAUGUAUAAUGAAGGGCCUUUGGAAAGAAUAUCAAUACAUAAGAAAUAACUCUGUAGCUAUAGCAAUGAAUAAUACAAUGAAUUAGUUACUGUCACAAAAUAUGUUGUAUACAUACCUCAAUAGAAAAAGGUGGAACUUUUUACCACAAAGAGCUUACAUUUCAAAUCAAAUCAAAUUGUAUUUGUCACAUGCCCCGAAUACAACAGGUUUAGACCUUACAGUGAAAUGCUUACUUACAAGCUCUUAACCAACCAUGCUUCAAGAAGUUUUAAUAAAAAGAAGUGUUAGGUAAAAAAUUUGAUAAGUAAAAAAUUGAAAAUAGAAGUAAACAAAAAAUUUAAUGGCAUCAGUAAAAUAACAAUAGUGAGGCUAUAUACAAGGGGGUACUAUAUGAUUAAUAUAGAAUGAAUACAUCAUUGGAAGUGCAUUGAUUAGAUAAUAACUGAUAUUACAAAUCAAGAAUGAAUAUCAACCGGGUAAGAAGAAAUCACUUCAAACCUAAAGAAUCUGUCGAAAUUUGUCAACCACAUGUCGAAUUAAAAUCAGGUGCAUCUGCGUGUAAUUGUAACAAAUGAUGCAAUAAUAAACUGCCAUAUAGCAAGUCCUUCAUCUACAAUCAAACAUUGUGAUUUACAUGUUUUUUAAGCUAAAAUAAGUAAUGUCUGCCAACAAGGUUAAGCAUUUUCCCAUGAUCAGAAUUUCAAAAAAGAUGGGAACAAAUUAUUUAUACGUAAAUUAUAUUGAAAGGAUUUUGAAAUAGCAUAUUUUUCAAAUAAAACAUGUAUUCAAAGGAAAUAAGCUGGCACACACCACUCUGGCAAAGUAUCAGUCAUUUACUUCCACGCCAACUUAUUUUCUUUGAAUAACUGUUUCACUCUUCCAAUGCACCUGCUAAGCAACAAGUAACACUCUCUUUACUUUAAAUAAAACAUUAACAAGUAGAAAAUAAUCAUUGAAUUUAUGAAAAUGAACUGCACAGUAUCAUUUGACACAGUAAGCAAGGCUGCAAAUGAUAUAUAUUCACUUCUAAUUGAAGAGGUAUGAACCUUUAUCAGUAACAUUUAACACUUGAACCUCUACAUCUGUAUAUUUGAAUGUAUUCAUCUGUGAAAUUCCAGCAAACCAAUAUGCUAUGGUCAUUAAACAAUGAGCUGUGAGAUUAUUGUAUUGAUGCUUUCUUUACACAGAGAUGCUUUUCAUAAAUUUGAAGUUUUGAAUGAGAAGUCAAGGCCAAAGCAUGUGGGAAUAACUUACAAGAUUCAAGAGUCAUGAAGAUUAAUGUCAUCUUGUUAUGGUUUUUAUGCAUUGAGUAUGUCGGAGAAUAGUAAUUCAACUAUUUUACCAUGUGUUUUCAGGGAAAUAUUUAAGUAAUUUUACGAAAUUUUAGCCAGUUUGCUACACCAGGAAAAUAAUCCUGCACCAACAGGACAUUUUAAUUAUUAUGUGGAUUAUAAUUAAUGGCCAUUUUUGUAGGAGUUUAUACAUUUUUAGUAUAGAACAAUCAAGUUAGAAAUUUGUGGAAAUUACAAACUUCAGAAGCCUUUUUAAACCUUAAAUAAACAUCGCAGGAAAGCCUGCAACAGGGUGAUCAAAUUAAGAUUUACACCUGUACACUAUUACAAAAACAUUAUUUUGCAGACUAUAUUGUCGAUUGCCAAUUCAUCAUCCAACUUCAGUAGCAUUUAGCUGGUGUUUAGUCACCUUUGUAUGCAAAAACUUGAAUCAGAAGCUAAUACAGAGGCUCUAAUACAUACCUUCAUAUCUUACAUAUAUACAAGCAUUUCGCUACACCCGCAAUAACAUCUAUUAAACCCGUGUAUUAGACCAAUCAAAUUUGAUUUGAUAUAUUAUUGUAUAAUUAAACAUAUAAACACACAAAUAAACACAGUGACUGAAUGUAAAAUAGAUGGUUUUCAAUAAGUAAGAACAAGACAAACAGAUAUGAUAUUCCAUCAGCGCUAAACUCACCUCACGGUGUCUCACCGGAAUCUGAGAGAAAGAGAGAAGGAGAGAGAGGGAGGAAGGGAGAGAAAGCUUGGGAGCUUGCAAUACAAAAUGGACCCUAUCCGAUAUCAGACCUCAGAAUGGACAACCUUCAUAAACGGGGCGACACCCAGAUUGCAACGAGUCAGGACUACUUCUCAUGGCCCUUCAGGAAGCAGACAUAUUAUGUGGAGAGUACAGACACACCACUACAGCAGAGGUCAGAAUCUGAGCUCCUCACCAUAAAAAGGGUUAUAAUAUAUCAGGGUUCAGUUCAAAAUGAAUUGAUCUUGACCUUGAGUAGAACGGUUAACAUGAAAUUCUAAUUGAAAUUGCCCUAUACUGCCUUUGUCACGUGAGUUGCAAGUUCAAUUCAACAGUAGUAUUAAAUUGAAAUGGAUAGACAUGAGUUAAGUUUUUACAAUGAAGAUAACAUUGUUAUUUUAUCCGAUUCUAUUUUGUUUAAAUGUGAUCUAAGCUCAUAUGAUUUGAAAUAUCACUGGCAUUUAGAAUAAUUAAAAAUUACCAUUAUAUUUGGCCUAAAUCUAAACAUUUAACAGUGAUAAUCAUUGAUAUGAUGCAAUAUAACACAUUUACAGAUGCAUAUUUCAAAGAUAAUGCACAUUCUUACAAAGAAAAAUCAACCAACCUUAACUUUCAGUAACAUACAUAAAUCCGAAGAAGAAACAACAACAGAAAAGCACUAAGACAAAAGUCCCCUGACCUGGUGAAGCGUAACAAUACAAGUAAAUUCUCCUUUCCCCCUCUGUGCCCUUGACCAGCACCACCAGCCUGUGUGAGUCUGGGGCCAUAGGCUCUUACAUACCUGAGCUCCCCCUCUGCCUGCUGUGGUCCUCUGAGGAGGAGAGGUCUGCUAGCUGCUAACACCCUUCACAUAUCCUACAGCCUGGGCCACUCACUUUUAUUAUUCCUGUGUGCCAAGCCAAGAGCGGGCGAGCCAGGCGCUAGCCUGGUGAUGUAGGGGCCUUUGCCCACCGCCAACGAGGCCCGAGGACAACUCUGUGCAACAUCACAGUGCCUUUACCGGCACAGACUGGGGCGAGAAGAUGGUGAGAGGAUUUUCUGUCUCCAGCCGAACCCGGCGCACCUAAUCGCCACUCCUCACACUCUCUCACUCUCCUUUACACAUUCUCCAUGUGCUUUUCCUCUACUUCAGUCACACACACUCCCUGUUUGCUGUCGCUGCAUCAUAACGCACACCUCUUAACACGCACACACUCUUCAUGCUCUUUCUCUAUCUAGUAACACACACCCUGUGCCUGUGUCUCCCUAGGACACUAACAAAGCCUCAAUCACUCACUGUCUUGGCAGAUACACUCCCGUUCUCUCAACCUGACGUGGCUUCAUUACAGUACAGAGGGCUGGGACACAGAACAGGACUGAUCCCAGACACACUCUCACCAGUGAAACUAAUGAAAGUAACAGAUGCAUAAGAAACUGUGUAGCAGCCGGUCCAAUGUAGCUGCUGUUUCAGUAAAGUUUCUACCAGCUGCUGCUCUAACAGUACUGAGCACGGUUCUACUGGGGCAGUGGAAUCAAUUACAGCAGUAACAUUACUCCAGUGUUAACAACACCUCCAGAAUGAGGUCAUUUCAUUGAGGAAAUAUCGCAGUUGAAAUGGAUCAGACUGUUUGAUUUCUGUACCACAAUAGAUUUACAGAAUGAUAAUGUUGGAUGCAAAUCCACGUGAGCAAACGUGGCAAUGUUUUGGUGAGCAGUUCAAUGUUUACUAUUAACAACUGGGCUAUUGCAUUACAUCACAGUACAUUUUAUUUUAUCGUUGUACAAUAAUAUAAAGGUCAAUUAAAAUGUCAUAACAUUUUG